GAUGAACGCUGGCGGCGUGCCUAAUACAUGCAAGUCGAGCGAACAGACGAGGAGCUUGCUCCUCUGACGUUAGCGGCGGACGGGUGAGUAACACGUGGAUAACCUACCUAUAAGACUGGGAUAACUUCGGGAAACCGGAGCUAAUACCGGAUAAUAUAUUGAACCGCAUGGUUCAAUAGUGAAAGACGGUUUUGCUGUCACUUAUAGAUGGAUCCGCGCCGCAUUAGCUAGUCGGUAAGGUAACGGCUUACCAAGGCAACGAUGCGUAGCCGACCUGAGAGGGUGAUCGGCCACACUGGAACUGAGACACGGUCCAGACGCCUACGGGAGGCAGCAGUAGGGAAUCUUCCGCAAUGGGCGAAAGCCUGACGGAGCAACGCCGCGUGAGUGAUGAAGGUCUUCGGAUCGUAAAACUCUGUUAUUAGGGAAGAACAAAUGUGUAAGUAACUAUGCACGUCUUGACGGUACCUAAUCAGAAAGCCACGGCUAACUACGU
rnacentral:rRNA from 1 species